GUUGGUUGUGCUGUGAAGAAGUCAGUGCUACAAGGAGAUGCCCAUGAGAAAUCACCAAGAAAUGGGCAGGUUUUUAUUAAUGACUUCAGGUUUGCCUCUCAUUCCUGUCCUCACAAGCCAUGCCUCAAGCAGUAUCAAUGCCAUCUGGGACACCUGCUCACAUCCAUGCUUGCUUCAAGGCCUUCCAGUGAGCCCCUGAGCUGGACCAACCUCAUCUGGACUGGUCUGUUCAUCCUGGUUGAAGAAACCUGGCAAGGAUAUCACUUUACUUCUUCAGCCUGUGUGUAGGAGCCUGCAGCUGAGCGCACUGGAUGUGGACAAGCACAGCAUCCCUGUGGCUCCCCGUCUUUUUGAGGAGAGGAAUGCUGGUACAGUCAAUACCACUCAUCAUCCUUCUCAAGCCCUGAGAAAGAGGAAUG